rnacentral:lncRNA from 1 species
UUUUUUUUUUUUUUGGUCUUUUCUGGGGCUGUUCUCGCGGCAUAUGGAGGUUCCCAGGCUAGGGGUCUAAUCUGAACUGUAGCUGCCUGCCUACUCCAGAGCCACAGCAACGUGGGAUCUGAGCUGUGUCUGCGAACUACACCACAGCUCAUGGCAACACCAGAUCCUUAACCCGGUGAGCAAGGCCAGGGAUCGAACCCACAACCUCAUGGUUCCUAGUCAGAUUCGUUAACCACUGAGCCACGACGGGAACUCCAAGGCACAGAUAUCUUAAAUACAUAAGAUGUAAAGAAUGACAAAAAUAUCUUUCAGGUAAAUAGAAGAAAUUUUGUUAAAACUCAGACCUGAUAUUUCUUGAGCACUUACCCGACUCCUCACAACAACCCUAUCAGAUAGGAAACAACAAUAUUGCCAAUGAGGAAACUAAGGCUUAAAGAAGUCAAACAACUUUGAUUAAUUUUCUUUUUUUUUUUUUUCCGGGCCACACCCACGGCACAUGAAAGGUCCCAGGCUAGGAGUCAAAUUGGAGCUGUAGCUGCCAGCCUACACCACAACCACAGCAACUCCAGAUCCAAGCUCCAUCUGCAACCUACACCACAGCUCACGGCAACACUGGAUCUUUAACCCACUGAAAGAGGCUAGGGGUCGAACCUGCGUCCUCAUGGAUCCUAGUCAGAUUUGUUUCUGCUGAGCCAUGACAGGAACACCAAAACAACUUUGAUUCAAACACAGGCAGUGCAAGAUCGAAGGAUGAGGUCUCUGAUUUGGGAAUUAAGGGCAGCAAUACCUGGAAUAAUGAGAGCAAAAGGCAUUGCAAGGUGAAGGAACCAACAUCAGGAAGAUGGUGGAGGUGGAAAUAAACAAGGUAUGUUGAGGGUGGGAGAAAAUCUUAUGGCUGAAACAUGGCAGACAAAGGUGGGUAAAGGCAAGGGAGAGAGUGAAGGAUCGGGGGCAAAUAUAAGGAAAAAUGGAGCUUGAAUAUUAGAAAAAAUAGAUUGGGGCUUGAAUGAAAAAGGAGCACAGAGUCUAAUCUUGUGACCUUGUGGCGUAUGGGAAGGUAAUUCCAAGGUAAUUCCGGUGGCAGUUUAAAAGAGGAUUUGAAAGACAAAGACCAAUUAAGAUAUUCUUGGAAUUAUCCCACUUUGCUCUUCCUAGAAAUUCAAAGAACUUGAAAAUAAGUUCUUACUGUCUAAUGGAAAGAAGCACACAAGUUUAUUCAGGAAGACAGACUGUUUCCCUGUAAUAAAUCUUAGAAAAGAUUCAUUUAGGUAGCUCUUUAUAUAUGGGACACUGAACUAUAGAAUUCAUUCAUUCUUUUUGGUGACAUAUCUAAUAAAUUACUGCCAUAGCCAAUGUAAAAAAAAUCAUUCAUUCAUUCAUUCACUACAAAUCAAAUAUUCAUUUAGCCCUACAGUAUAAGCUUUAGGCCCUGUAUAUAAAACAAUAAAACCAGUAAAGUCUUUUCCCUCAUGGAGCUUACUUUCUAGAAGAUUGGGCAAUUCUCUCAGAGAUUUUAUCAAAAAAAAAAAAAUGCAGGAACAGUUCUCAUGUGGACAUUUUUAUUUUGUCAACUCUGGUUUUUGUUUUUUUGUUUUUUGUUUUUUAUUGUCUUUUGUCCUUUUCAGGGCUGCACCCACGGCGUAUGGAGGUUCCCAGCCCACAAAAUGGCAAAAAGACAAAAAAAAAAAAAAAAAAAAAAAAAAAGCAAAAUGAUGAUUAUGGUCAGUCGAAAUGUGUUAAUUUGUGAAAAGCUGAGGUCACAAAUGAUUGCAAAAAUGAGAAAAGUCGACAAAUUGUGCUAAAGAAAUUUCAUAGAAUUGAAUGUCAUUAUUCACCCUUAUCAUGUUAGUACUAUUGAUUCAUUUAUUGAAUCAGUGCAAAAUAUCAAAUUCAGUAAAUAUCAAGUAUGUUAGUUUUACUUAAUCUGUUUACAUUUAGAAAAACAAUUCCUAACUCUUAGGCUAUAACUGCCAGUGUCUACACUGGCACAAACUGAUUUUUCCGAGUGACAAAAUUAUAUCCUUGCUGGCCUUAGAAAUCUAUGGUGGGAGUUUGUUUAUUUGUUUAUUUGUUUUUAGGGCCACACCUGUGGCAUAUGGAUGUUUCCAGGCUACAGGUCGAAUUGGAGCUGCAGCUGCCUGCCUACACCACAGCCACAGCAAUGCCAGACCUGAACGUUGUCUGCAACCUACACUGCAGCUUGUGGCAAAUGAGCGGGGCGAGGAACUGGACCCACAUCCUCAUGGAUACUAGUUGGGUCCAUUACUGCUGAGCCGCAAUGGGAACUCGUAUGGUGGGAGUUUUGAUUGUACCUCAAAGUACCAUUCUAGUGAGUCAUCUUGGAAGAUCAGCACUGGAAUAUAUUUGAAUCAUUGUACUCCUGAGUUUCUGUGUAUUGAUCAGCUAAGUGUUGAGAGCUAGAUCAGAAACUGGGAGGUACUCUGCAUAAGUCUAUAUAGUAGGCUGAUAGAACUUUCCAUGACGUGGAAAUGUUCUCGAUCUGUGCUGUCCUGUGUGCUAGCCAUUAGUCACAUGCAGCUAAUGACUACUGAGCACUCGAAGUGUGGCUACUGUGACCAAGGAACUGAAUAUUAAAUUGAAUUUUAUUUAAAUUAAUGUAAAUACACAUGGCUCACAACUACUGUAUUGAAUUUUUUUUUUUUUUUUGGUCUUUUUAGGGCUGCACUCACAAAUCCAAGCCAUAUCUCUGACCUACACCACAGCUCGCGGCCACACCGGAUCCUUAACCCAAUGAUUGGGGCCAGGGAUUGAACCUGCGUCCUCAUGGAUGCUAGUCAGAUUUGUUUCCUCUGAGCCAUGAGAGGAACUCCAAAAUUCCUUUUAAUUGCAUAGAAUAACUUGAAGUUUACUCAGCAAUGCAAAUUUCUUCUCAUUAGUUCUGGGACAUAGUCCAUUUCCUUUAAGAUAUUGAAAGGACUGGGAGUUCCCGUCGUGGCUCAAGUGGUUAACGAUUCCGACUAGGAACCAUGAGGAAAAAAAAAAGAUAUUGAAAGGACUAUAUUGAAAAAAAUUUAGGAUUAAAAUUUUGUUUUGAGAAACUUAUAAACCAACUAAACUUCAGUAAAACCUUUUUUUGAAUAGGUAAUACAUUUAUAUUGUUUAAAACAUUAAAAAAAUUUUAAAAGUAUACAG